UGCAUUUUAAUGACGUAUAACGUUAUUUUCACAUGCACAGCUGGCACAACUACUGUCCGCUGAAAAAAAACAAAAACAAAUACAGUGAAAGUGAAAUGGAGGAGGAAGCCUCAAGCCAGAGGACACCUGCCGAGGUUACCUGUCUUUUAAGCCUUUGGAGUGUAGAGUCGGUGCAGGCCAAAAUAUAAGAUUUACACCGAAACGGAUCAGUUUAUGAAGAAAUUUCAGCCGCAAUGGGAGAGCAAGGUUUUAAACGCUCAUGGCUACAGUGUCAGUACAAAAUCAAGAGUUUAAAAGCAAAAUACAAGGAGGUCAAAGACCUCAACAGCAAGAGUGGAAAUGGUUGUAUUAGAUGCCCCUUCUACGACCACAUGGAAGUCAUUUUAGGUGACAAACAUAGCUGCUGAAAACCUGAGAUACUAGAUAGCUCCCGACAAGAAGCAGCAUAGUCAGUGGACGGGGAAGACAUGAAGUGUGAUAACAUUACUGACAUUUGCCUUUAACCAGAUGAGCUUCCUGACACUCCAAAGACCACCUCAUCUAGUGAAACAAGUGCCUCAUCAAGUGUGACCACCAAAGAGGCGACAUCAAGGGUCUAAACACCAACACCUGGCACACACCAACAGGAGCAUAGUGGAAUUGGUGCCUCUACAGUACGCAAGAGGCAGAAAAACAAAAUGGAAUCCACAGUGGAGAUGUUUGGCCAGAAGUUUAAAGAUUCCUUCUCCCAGACAAAUGACAUUGAGCUUCAGCUUAAAUUGCAAGCAGUGCAGCACACCCACAAGUUAAGGAUGAUGACCCUGUUUACACAGUUCCUUGGAGGAAGACAGUCUCACCAGCCUGAUAUGCCACCCCUUCACUCGGGCCAUACCACCAAGUCAAGCUCAUGGUCAAGAUUAUGCCCGCCCUGCUCCCUUUCACCCGGAUCAUGCCUCUUUUUCACCAAAAUGAUGCCCACCCUCUUCCUCCCCUUUACCAGGAUUAUGCCUCUGUUGGUCCCUCACCAUUCACACCCUCCAUUCUUUCAAGAGGAUCAUACACACCUUUUCCUCAUGAUACCCAACCUUCACCCCCUCACUAGGCCAACAUCCACUCUCAGCCAAUCAUUCCUGCCCACCCCCCUCCUUUUUUUCUUUCACCUGCCUAAUUCAAUAUUGUUCAGGAUUAAUACUCAGGCAGUUUAGAAAUGAGAAUGGUUUGUAGUUUAUGUACAUUUAAGGUGAGCCCUGAUUUCUUAUGUGUUAACACUGUAAUGUUGUAUACCUUGUAGGUAGUGGCGGGCAAUAUGACCUAUCACCUUUUUUGUUUACUUUAUAUUCAGGCAAUUUAAAGUUCUGAAUGGCCUGUGGUUUAUAUACAUUUAAGAUGAGCCCUGUUUUCUCAUAUGUUAACACUGUAAUGUUGUACACCUUGUAGGUAGGGGUGGGUGAUAUGACCUCUCUAUCACCUUUCUUAAAUUUAAAUAAAAAUUAAUAUUCAGACAAUUUUAUGUUCAGAAUGGCCUGUUUUCUUUUAUAUUAAGGGGGAACAGUGAAAGGUGUUAGUGGCCUACAUGCAUUUGAGCUUUCUCCUGUUAACUAGAGGAGUUAUGUUAGCCUAGUCUUCUUGUUAUUUGGAUGUUUACAUAACAGUCUUGAAUUGAACCCAGGACACUGCAAGCACAAAACAUGCACCCUAGCGUUUUCCAAACUGUCACUUAACACUUAAGAAGUGUGUCUUGUUUUGCUUUUAGCUUGUUUCCUUCUGCUAAACAGCCAAUCUGGAUGUUGAAUGUCAUAUAUGCCUUUGUAUUUGU